rnacentral:rRNA from 1 species
UCGAGAAUUUUCUCAAUGGGCGAAGGCCUGAAGGAGCGACGCCGCGUGGGGGAUGAAUGGCUUCGGCCCGUAAACCCUGCUCAUUCGGGAGCAAUGCCUUUCACUUAACACGUGGAAGGUUGAUAGUACCGGAAGAGGAAGGGACGGCUAACUCUGUGCCAGCAGCCGCGGUAAUACAGAGGUCCCAAGCGUUGUUCGGAUUCACUGGGCGUAAAGGGUGCGUAGGUGGUAGGGCAAGUCUGGCGUGAAAUCUCCGAGCCUAACUCGGAAACUGCGUCGGAAACUGCCCAACUAGAGGAUUGGAGGGGAGACUGGAAUACUUGGUGUAGCAGUGAAAUGCGUAGAUAUCAAGUGGAACACCAGUGGCGAAGGCGAGUCUCUGGACAAUUCCUGACACUGAGGCACGAAAGCUAGGGGAGCAAA